rnacentral:miRNA from 1 species
UGAGAACUGAAUUCCAUGAACUG